GGGACACGUGGUAUCCUGUCUGAAUAUGGGGGGACCAUCCUCCAAGGCUAAAUACUCCUGACUGACCGAUAGUGAACCAGUACCGUGAGGGAAAGGCGAAAAGAACCCCGGCGAGGGGAGUGAAAAAGAACCUGAAACCGUGUACGUACAAGCAGUGGGAGCACGCUUAGGCGUGUGACUGCGUACCUUUUGUAUAAUGGGUCAGCGACUUAUAUUCUGUAGCAAGGUUAACCGAAUAGGGGAGCCGAAGGGAAACCGAGUCUUAACUGGGCGUUAAGUUGCAGGGUAUAGACCCGAAACCCGGUGAUCUAGCCAUGGGCAGGUUGAAGGUUGGGUAACACUAACUGGAGGACCGAACCGACUAAUGUUGAAAAAUUAGCGGAUGACUUGUGGCUGGGGGUGAAAGGCCAAUCAAACCGGGAGAUAGCUGGUUCUCCCCGAAAGCUAUUUAGGUAGCGCCUCGUGAAUUCAUCUCCGGGGGUAGAGCACUGUUUCGGCAAGGGGGUCAUCCCGACUUACCAACCCGAUGCAAACUGCGAAUACCGGAGAAUGUUAUCACGGGAGACACACGGCGGGUGCUAACGUCCGUCGUGAAGAGGGAAACAACCCAGACCGCCAGCUAAGGUCCCAAAGUCAUGGUUAAGUGGGAAACGAUGUGGGAAGGCCCAGACAGCCAGGAUGUUGGCUUAGAAGCAGCCAUCAUUUAAAGAAAGCGUAAUAGCUCACUGGUCGAGUCGGCCUGCGCGGAAGAUGUAACGGGGCUAAACCAUGCACCGAAGCUGCGGCAGCGACGCUUAUGCGUUGUUGGGUAGGGGAGCGUUCUGUAAGCCUGUGAAGGUGUGCUGUGAGGCAUGCUGGAGGUAUCAGAAGUGCGAAUGCUGACAUAAGUAACGAUAAAGCGGGUGAAAAGCCCGCUCGCCGGAAGACCAAGGGUUCCUGUCCAACGUUAAUCGGGGCAGGGUGAGUCGACCCCUAAGGCGAGG
rnacentral:rRNA from 1 species